GAGUUUGAUCCUGGAUCACAUUGAACGCUGGCGGCAUGCCUUACACAUGCAAGUCCAACGGCAGCACGGGAGCAAUCCUGGUGGCGAGUGGCGAACGGGUGAGUAAUAUAUCGGAACGUGCCCCGUCGUGGGGGAUAACGUAGCGAAAGCUACGCUAAUACCGCAUACGAUCCAUGGAUGAAAGCGGGGGAUCGCAAGACCUCGCGCGAUUGGAGCGGCCGAUAUCAGAUUAGGUAGUUGGUGAGGUAAAGGCUCACCAAGCCGACGAUCUGUAGCUGGUCUGAGAGGACGACCAGCCACACUGGGACUGAGACACGGCCCAUACUCCUACGGGAGGCAGCAGUGGGGAAUUUUGGACAAUGGGCGCAAGCCUGAUCCAGCAAUGCCGCGUGCGGAUGAAGGCCUUCGGGUUGUAAACUGCUUUUGUACGGAACGAAACGGUGAGCUCUAAUACAGUUUGCUAAUGACGGUACCGUAUUAAUAAGCACCGGCUAACUACGUGCCAUCAGCCGCGGUAAUACGUAGGGUGCGAGCGUUAAUCGGAAUUACUGGGCGUAAAGCGUGCGCAGGCGGUGAUGUAAGACAGAUGUGAAAUCCCCGGGCUCAACCUGGGACCUGCAUUUGUGACUGCAUCGCUAGAGUACGGUAGAGGGGGAUGGAAUUCCGCGUGUAGCAGUGAAAUGCGUAGAUAUGCGGAGGAACACCGAUGGCGAAGGCAAUCCCCUGGACCUGUACUGACGCUCAUGCACGAAAGCGUGGGGAGCAAACAGGAUUAUGAUAUCCUGGUAGUCCACGCCCUAAACGAUGUCAACUGGUUGUUGGGUCUUCACUGACUCAGUCACGAACCUCACGCGUGAAGCUGACCGCCUGGAGAGUACG
rnacentral:rRNA from 1 species